GCCUUCGUGGUGCAAUGGUUAGCACAAUCGGCGCGUAUGCGAGAGGUCUAGGUUCGAGUCCUGGCGAGGGCA
rnacentral:tRNA from 1 species